rnacentral:rRNA from 1 species
GGGGAAUAUUGCACAAUGGGCGAAAGCCUGAUGCAGCAACGCCGCGUGAGUGAAGAAGGUUUUCGGAUUGUAAAGCUCUGUCAUCUGGGACGAUAAUGACGGUACCAGAUGAGGAAGCCACGGCUAACUACGUGCCAGCAGCCGCGGUAAUACGUAGGUGGCAAGCGUUGUCCGGAUUUACUGGGCGUAAAGGAUGUGUAGGCGGAUAUUUAAGUGAGAUGUGAAAUCCCCGGGCUUAACUUGGGGGCUGCAUUUCAAACUGGAAGUCUAGAGUGCAGGAGAGGAAAGCAGAAUUCCUAGUGUAGCGGUGAAAUGCGUAGAGAUGUGGAGGAACACCAGUGGCGAAGGCGGCUUUCUGGUCUGUAACUGACGCUGAGGCGCGAAAGCGUGGGGAGCAAAC